GCCGGACGCAGUGGCAUGGUGCCUAUAGUCCCAACUACUGGGGAGGCUGAGACAGGAGGAUCGCCUGAGUCCAGGAGUUCUGAGCUGUAGUGCACUAUGCUGAUCGGGUGUCUGCACUAAGUUCAGCAUCAAUAUGGUGACCUCCCAGGAGCAGGGGACCAGCAGGUUGCCUAAGGAGGGGUGAACUAGAGCAGGUCAAAACUCCCGUGCUGAUCAGUAGUGGGAUAAAGCCUGUGAAUAGCCACUGCACUCCAGCCUGGGCAGCAUAGCAAGACCCCGUCUCUU
rfam:Otolemur garnettii contig111010, whole genome shotgun sequence.